AAAUUAAUAUUUUAAAUUAUAGUUAAAUUAUAAAUAAUUUUCCUCUUAAGGUUGAAAACACGAUCAGAGAGAGAAAAAAGAUGAAUAUAAUACAAUUUGUUAAUGUAAAUUUGUUACUGAAGUCACCGACAAAUCUUUAAUCAAAAUCUUCCCAACGAUGAAUCGAUGAUUAGAAAAAAUGUAGAUUCGCGUCGGAAAGAUCGACGCCAAUGAAGUAUAAGUAAUUGUUGCGUCAGCUAUCGUGGCUCGACGCACGCGGCUACGGUGAUGAUUGGUCGUGGCUGCGGAGCGGGAAAUCCCCGUUGAAACCUGCUCGACCACGAGUUAUCCCACGUCCUACUGCGGUAUCUCAUAUUCGUUUCCUUCGUCGUUCUCCGUCGAGUAAAGACCUCGUGCUUUAGUCGUUCGGGAGAAACACGCGAUGAAGCAUCGUCGUUACCGCCGCCGUUGCUUGUCAAUACUGAGAGAUAACAUUGCGUCGUAUAACGAUUCCACAUACUAAGAAAAAAACAAUGAGUUUUCAAGCGGUAGUGACACAUUCCUGAAUAUUGCCGCGCACUUACUUAAUUCCUGCAUGUACAAUUAUCGCCACGCAAGUAUAAGUACUUGUAACGAGUGUUCUUGAUUCGCCGAUACAGCUCUCGAUAUUGUUGUAUGAUAAAAUUAAGUUUCGAGUGCGAGUGUUGUUGUCGCGUUAAACAUGGACUCAUUUAACACUUACGGUAGGAACGAUCUAUCAGAGCGAGAAAGGUCCAAGCGCGUUCGACGAUGCUGAGGCGCGAAGGGCGCUUUCUAAUCCUUCGCAGCAGAUAUUUUACGCAAGAAUAUUACGCCGGCAAGUUGGAAUCGAAGCCUUUGAUGCCGCUACAUCUGGGGAGAGUUCACUGUAUGGCCCUGGAGUGGAUGACUCCAUUCUGUUUCAGAUAAGUCCUGUACGAGUUGCAAUUGGCAACGUGGAGCACUUUUUUUCAACAUGGUCUUGCGACGAGGACAAUAUCUCCGCCAUUUUAAAAUAUUUUUAGUUCAAAUUUAUUCUGAAACAUGUUCUAAGAAUGUAUUUUAAAGUAAAGAAAACUAGGAUUAAUUACAUACAUUACGUU